GGAUGUGAAGACAAUGUGGCUGCAAUAUCUGUCUUCUCAUUGACCAUCAGGGUUGAUUCAGCCAGUCGUGCUGUUUAGGUGGAUGUCCCCUUUCUCCCUCACUGUUCUAUGNGUGUCCCUCCCAAAGCAGCAUGCUCAGUGGAAGAGAACAAACAUACCAAGCAGAAGAAGUAUAUCUUCAGUCAAAGCUAUACUUAAAUAUCUCCUUUCUGUGCAGACACUAAAAACACUGGAAUGCUGUCUUGGAUUCCAUUUGACUUUUCUU
rnacentral:snRNA from 1 species